rnacentral:rRNA from 1 species
CAAUAGCGUAUAUUAAAGUUGUUGCAGUUAAAAAGCUCGUAGUUGGAUUUCUGGUGGGAGCGAUCGGUCUGGCGCUUAGCGCGAGUACUUGCAUCGUCUCCGGCCAUCCUUGGGGAGAGUCUGUCUGGCAUUAGGUUGUCGGGCAGAGGAUCCUCAUCGUUUACUGUGAAAAAAUUAGAGUGUUCAAAGCAGGCUUAUGCCGUUGAAUAUAUUAGCAUGGAAUAAUAAGAUAGGACUUUGGUACUAUUUUGUUGGUUUGCGCACCAAAGUAAUGAUUAAUAGGGACAGUUGGGGGUAUUCGUAUUCCGUUGUCAGAGGUGAAAUUCUUGGAUUUACGCAAGACAAACUACUGCGAAAGCAUUUGCCAAGGAUGUUUUCAUUGA